CAAGAUCUGACCCCCUCUUCUGGAGUGUCUGAAGACAGCUACAAUGUACUUACAUAUAAUAAAUAAACAGCUACAAUGUACUUACAUAUAAUAAAUAAAUAAAUAACUCUGAAGACAGCUACAAUGUACUUACAUAUAAUAAAUAAACAGCUACAAUGUACUUACAUAUAAUAAAUAAAUAAAUAAAUAAAUAAAAAAAAGAACCAAAUUCACAAGAGCAGUACGUACUUCUAACCACUGAACCACCUCUCCAUCCUCUUAAAAAAAAAAAAAAAAAAAAAAGACCACAUUUCAAGGGUUCAAUGGCCACACGUGGCCAAUGGCCACCAUGUUUGUCUGUGUAGAAGAAGAAACCAAGUGUUCCCGCCCUUGUUCAUGGCGCUACUCUGCCAUUAUAGCAGUAUUGUUAGGGCUUAUGGGGGGUGGGGGGGUUAAUUGUAAACUGAUUUUUGAAAAGGUGAUAAGUACAAGCCAAAAAUACGCCUCCCAUUUCCUGUACCUCCAUCCACUGAGCUACUUGUGGGAACUAUACACUGUUAUAUACGUGGCUUUUCCCCCUAUUUAAUGCAUUUUGGAUCCUGCUCAUAUAUAUUCAAUAGUAAUAUACUGUACUACGGGGAGGUACCAUAACUUAGUCGCUGAUGGACUUUUGGGUGAUUUCCAGUCUUUCCAACUGGGAUACGCAGGAAGGUUCUGCAGGCUGCGCUGUAAUGAAAUCCUUGCGCAUACAUGUAAAUCCUCAGAGUGCGUUAAUAGCAGGGAACUCUUGGGUCAAAAGCUACAUAUACAUUGUAAUAUAGAUCACUAAAUUGCCCCCUAAAGAGGUUGCGACAAGAAGACCUGAUCCCCACACCAUCAAACACUCUUGUGCUGUGAAUGCAAAUGUCCACAGUGACACUAGUUCUCCAAGGGAGGGGCUUCCCAUUGCCUCUGACAACCUGCCCUCUUAGACUAUCUCCCAGUCACGUCUUCCCACUGCCAAGGAUAGUGAACAUUCUUUAGGUUUUACUCAUUGUGUGUGUGUGUGUGUGAGAGAGAGUGAGUGUGUGUGAUGUGUAAGUGAGCACAGGAAGAUGUUUGCCACAGUGCAAGUGUGCAGGUGGGAGGGACCUUCCAGACUCAGUUCUCUCCUUCCACCCCGGUUCCAGGGAUCAAGCUUGGGUCAUCAAGUUUGCACCCACUGACCCAUCCUGCCAGCCCAGUCAGUGACAUUUAACUGGGUGCUUCCUAGGCCUUGCCUCUGUGUCCCAUGAACUGUUCACAGUAACCAAAUGAGAGCCAGAGCAGACGUCUCCAUUCGGGACUCCUUACUCUUCAGUACCAGUUCCCUCUACUCUUGAUCUUGAGACUGCCCUACCUGAACCCCGGAUCUGCCCAGCCCUCCCCUAGGUUCUUCCAGAUGCUUCCAGCCCUCAGCAGAUUGCCAUCAGCAGUCCACACCCGGCUGGUUUGCACCUCCCUCUGCUGGACUUUGAGCUGCGCGCCAAAAGAAAGAUGCACCUGAUGGAGGUGCUUUCUUUAACCGACAUACAGUUGAAGGAAAGACGGUCUCCUGAUGGAUGUCUGCAAUGAUUAAGAGGGAAUGCUUCUGGUACCCUUUCCCUCGGAUGCCCGUGAAGGGCUCGGGCAUCACCAGCCACUGUCCCAGCCCGGGCUCUAAGUCUGACCCAAGCCGAAGUGCCUGCGCCCCGCUAUGCGCUCCAUCACCACUAGAGGGAGUAAAGAGCGGGCUCUUCCCUGUGCUCUGUCCUCCAUAGCCUUGCCUAGGAAAGAAAGAUCCCUCCAAGUCAAAGUGAGAGGAGGUCUAACUGGGAAGAUGAUCAAUGGUGCGGUGGGUAGGGAACAAGUGAGGUAAUGGGAGGGUGGAUAUGAUGAUAUGAUAUGAUAUGAUAUGAUAUGAUAUGAUAUGAUAUGAUAUGAUAUGAUAUGAUAUAUGAAUCUUAUAAUAAAAGUCAUUAUUUUGUAUAAUUAAUAUAUACUAAUAAAG
rnacentral:lncRNA from 1 species